rnacentral:rRNA from 1 species
UACGGGGGGUCCAAGCGUUGUUCGGAAUCACUGGGCGUAAAGCGCACGUAGGUGGCUUUUCAAGUCAGUUGUGAAAGCCCUGGGCCUAACCCAGGAAGUGCAACUGAUACUGUUAAGCUUGAGUACGAGAGAGGAUAGUGGAAUUCCAGGUGUAGUGGUGAAAUACGUAGAUAUCUGGAGGAACAUCGGUGGCGAAGGCGGCUAUCUGGCUCGAUACUGACACUGAGGUGCGAAAGCGUGGGGAUCAAACAGG